rnacentral:rRNA from 1 species
AUUGAACGCUGGCGGCAGGCCUAACACAUGCAAGUCGAAUGGUAACAGGAAACAGCUUGCUGUUUCGCUGACGAGUGGCGGACGGGUGAGUAAUGUCUGGGAAACUGCCUGAUGGAGGGGGAUAACUACUGGAAACGGUAGCUAAUACCGCAUAACGUCGCAAGACCAAAGAGGGGGACCUUCGGGCCUCUUGCCAUCAGAUGUGCCCAGAUGGGAUUAGCUAGUAGGUGGGGUAACGGCUCACCUAGGCGACGAUCCCUAGCUGGUCUGAGAGGAUGACCAGCCACACUGGAACUGAGACACGGUCCAGAGUCCUACGGGAGGCAGCAGUGGGGAAUAUUGCACAAUGGGCGCAAGCCUGAUGCAGCCAUGCCGCGUGUAUGAAGAAGGCCUUCGGGUUGUAAAGUACUUUCAGCGGGGAGGAAGGGAGUAAAGUUAAUACCUGUGCUCAUUGACGUUACCCGCAGAAGAAGCACCGGCUAACUCCGUG